UACAGAGGUCUCAAGCGUUGUUCGGAUUCAUUGGGCGUAAAGGGUGCGUAGGCGGCGCGGUAAGUCGGGUGUGAAAUCUCGGAGCUUAACUCCGAAACUGCAUUCGAUACUGCCGUGCUUGAGGACUGGAGAGGAGACUGGAAUUCCCGGUGUAGCGGUGAAAUGCGCAGAUAUCGGGAGGAACACCAAUGGCGAAGGCAGCUCGCUGGGACGGUACUGACGCUGAGGCGCGAAAGCGUGGGGAGCAAACAGGG
rnacentral:rRNA from 1 species